rnacentral:rRNA from 1 species
UGGGGAAUAUUGCACAAUGGGCGCAAGCCUGAUGCAGCCAUGCCGCGUGUGUGAAGAAGGCCUUCGGGUUGUAAAGCACUUUCAGCGAGGAGGAAGGUGGUGAGCUUAAUACGCUCAUCAAUUGACGUUACUCGCAGAAGAAGCACCGGCUAACUCCGUGCCAGCAGCCGCGGUAAUACGGAGGGUGCAAGCGUUAAUCGGAAUUACUGGGCGUAAAGCGCACGCAGGCGGUUUGUUAAGUCAGAUGUGAAAUCCCCGGGCUCAACCUGGGAACUGCAUUUGAAACUGGCAAGCUAGAGUCUCGUAGAGGGGGGUAGAAUUCCAGGUGUAGCGGUGAAAUGCGUAGAGAUCUGGAGGAAUACCGGUGGCGAAGGCGGCCCCCUGGACGAAGACUGACGCUCAGGUGCGAAAGCGUGGGGAGCAAAACAGGAUUAGAUACCCUGGUAGUCCACGCUGUAAAACGAUGUCGAUUUUGGAGGUUGUGCCCCUUGAGGCGUGGCUUCCGGAGCUAACGCGUUAAAUCGACCGCCUGGGGGAGUACGGCC